rnacentral:rRNA from 1 species
CCUACGGGAGGCUGCAGUGAGGAAUAUUGGUCAAUGGACGAGAGUCUGAACCAGCCAAGUAGCGUGAAGGAUGACUGCCCUAUGGGUUGUAAACUUCUUUUAUCUGGGAAUAAAAUGUUCCACGUGUGGGCUUUUGUAUGUACCAUAUGAAUAAGCAUCGGCUAACUCCGUGCCAGCAGCCGCGGUAAUACGGAGGAUCCGAGCGUUAUCCGGAUUUAUUGGGUUUAAAGGGCGCGUAGGUGGAUUGUUAAGUCAGUUGUGAAAGUUUGCGGCUCAACCGUAAAAUUGCAGUUGAAACUGGCAGUCUUGAGUACAGUAGAGGUGGGCGGAAUUCGUGGUGUAGCGGUGAAAUGCUUAGAUAUCACGAAGAACUCCGAUUGCGAAGGCAGCUCACUGGACUGCAACUGACACUGAGGCUCGAAAGUGUGGGUAUCAAACAGGAUUAGAUACCCUGGUAGUC